rnacentral:rRNA from 1 species
ACGUAGGGCGCAAGCGUUGUCCGGAAUUAUUGGGCGUAAAGAGCUUGUAGGUGGCUUGUCGCGUCUGCCGUGAAAACCCGAGGCUCAACCUCGGGCGUGCGGUGGGUACGGGCAGGCUAGAGUGUGGUAGGGGAGACUGGAACUCCUGGUGUAGCGGUGAUAUGCGCAGAUAUCAGGAAGAACACCGAUGGCGAAGGCAGGUCUCUGGGCCAUUACUGACACUGAGAAGCGAAAGCAUGGGGAGCGAACAGG